rnacentral:rRNA from 1 species
UUAAGUGAAUAAGCGUACAUGGUGGAUGCCUAGGCAGUCAGAGGCGAAGAAGGACGUACCAACCUGCGAAAAGCUACGGGGAGCCGGUAAGGGGCAUUAAUCCGUAGGAGUCCGAAUGGGGGAACCCAGUGCAGCGAUGCAUUAUCGAUUUAUGAGUAAAGUAGUAAAUCGAGGCGAACCGGGAGAAGUGAAACAUCUCAGUAACCCGAGGAAAAGAAAUCAAACGAGAUUGCGGGAGUAGUGGCGAACGAAACUGCAGGAGCCCAAAAGUCAGAAACAGGAUAGUAGAAUUGCAUGGGAAGGCAAACGAAAGAGUGUGAUAGUCACGUAUACGACAUUCUGUGAUGAUGAGAGAGAGUAGAGCGGGACACGUGGUAUCCUGUUUGAAGAUAGGGGGACCAUCCUCUAAGGCUAAAUACUACUGAAUGACCGAUAGUGAACCAGUACCGUGAGGGAAAGGCGAAAAGAACCUCUGAAAGAGGAGUGAAAAGAAUCUGAAACCGUGUACGUACAAGCAGUGGGAGCACGUGAGUGUGACCGCGUACCUUUUGUAUAAUGGGUCAGCGAGUUACUUUCAGCAGCGAGGUUAACCGCAUAGGGGAGCCGGAGGGAAACCGAGUGUGACAAGCGCGACAGUUGCUGGGAGUAGACCCGAAACAUGAUGAUCUAGCCAUGGCCAGGAUGAAGGUGAGGUAACACUUACUGGAGGUCCCAACCCACUAACGUUGCAAAGUUAGGGGAUGAGCUGUGGCUAGGGGUGAAAGGCCAAUCAAAUCAUGUGAUAUCUGGUUCUCCCCGAAAGCUAUUUAGGUAGCGCCUUGUGGAGAGAAUGUAAGGGGUAGAGCACUGUUUCGACGAGGGUUCUGUCAUGGAAUACCAACUCGAUGCAAACUGCGAAUACUUACAUUUAUACACAGGAGACAGACGGCGGGUGCUAACGUUCGUCGUCAAGAGGAAAACAAUCCAGACCGCCAGCUAAGGUCCCGAAGUAAUGUUAAGUGGGAAACGAUGUGGGAAGGCAUAAACAGCUAGGAUGUUGGCUUAGAAGCAGCCAUCAUUAAAAGAAAGCGUAAUAGCUCACUAGUCGAGUCGGCCUGCGCGGAAGAUGUAACGGGGCUAAACAUUACACCGAAGCUGCGGAAUCUUUAAGCAAUUAAGGAUUGGUAGGGGAGCGUUCUGUAAGUCUGAGAAGGUUCAGUGGGAACUGAGCUGGAGAUAUCAGAAGAGCGAAUGCUGACGUAAGUAACGAUAAUAUAUGUGAAAAACAUAUACGCCGGAAGACCAAGGGUUCCUGUCCAACGUUAAUCGGGGCAGGGUGAGUCGGUACCUAAGAUAAGGCAGAGAUGCGUAGUCGAUGGAGAGCGGGUUAAUAUUCCCGCACUUGUUCAGGGACUGAUGGAGUGACGGAGAAGGCUAUGCAUGCCACCGGAUGGUGAGUGGUGAAAGCCGGUAGGGAGUCAGCCAAGGCAAAUCCGGGCUGAUAAUUCCGAGAGGUGAGAGGAGUGCGGUUCAGCCGCACGAAGAUGCAGAUGCCAGGCUUCCAGGAAAAGCUUCUAAAGAUAUGUCUGAGCAAGCCGUACCCCAAACCGACACAGGUGGUCGGGUAGAGAAUACCAAGGCGCUUGAGAGAACUCGGGUGAAGGAACUAGGCAAAAUAGUACCGUAACUUCGGGAGAAGGUACGCUGGAGGGUGUGAAAUCUGCACAGAUUUAGCAUCAGCCAGCCACAGUAACCAGGUGGCUGGGACUGUUUAACAAAAACACAGCACUCUGCGAACACGAAAGUGGAAGUAUAGGGUGUGACACCUGCCCGGUGCCGGAAGGUUAAUUGAAGAUGUUAUCGCAAGAGAAGCAUCGGAUCGAAGCCCCGGUAAACGGCGGCCGUAACUAUAACGGUCCUAAGGUAGCGAAAUUCCUUGUCGGGCAAGUUCCGACCUGCACGAAUGGUGUAACCAUGGCCACGCUGUCUCCACCCGAGACUCAGUGAAAUCGAAAUUGCUGUGAAGAUGCAGUGUACCCGCGGCUAGACGGAAAGACCCCGUGAACCUUUACUACAGCUUGACACUGAACAUUGAGCCUGUCUGUGUAGGAUAGGCGGGAGACGGAGAUUUCGUAACGCCAGUUACGAGGGAGUCGACGGUGAAAUACCGCUCUGAUAUGUUUGAUGUUCUAACUUCAGCUCAUGAAACUGGGCGAAGGACAGUGUCUGGUGGGUAGUUUGACUGGGGCGGUCUCCUCCCAAAGAGUAACGGAGGAGCACGAAGGUUAGCUAAUCACGGUCGGACAUCGUGAGGAUAGUGUAAUGGCAGAAGCUAGCUUGACUGCGAGACCAACAAGUCGAGCAGAUGCGAAAGCAGGUCAUAGUGAUCCGGUGGUUCUGAAUGGAAGGGCCAUCGCUCAACGGAUAAAAGGUACUCUGGGGAUAACAGGCUGAUACCGCCCAAGAGUUCAUAUCGACGGCGGUGUUUGGCACCUCGAUG